GAUGAACGCUGGCGGCGUGCCUAAUACAUGCAAGUCGAGCGAAUGGAUUAAGAGCUUGCUCUUAUGAAGUUAGCGGCGGACGGGUGAGUAACACGUGGGUAACCUGCCCAUAAGACUGGGAUAACUCCGGGAAACCGGGGCUAAUACCGGAUAACAUUUUGAACCGCAUGGUUCGAAAUUGAAAGGCGGCUUCGGCUGUCACUUAUGGAUGGACCCGCGUCGAAUUAGCUAGUUGGUGAGGUAACGGCUCACCAAGGCAACGAUGCGUAGCCCACCUGAGAGGGUGAUCGGCCACACUGGGACUGGGACACGGCCCAGACUCCUACGGGAGGCAGCAGUAGGGAAUCUUCCGCAAUGGACGAAAGUCUGACGGAGCAACGCCGCGUGAGUGAUGAAGGCUUUCGGGUCGUAAAACUCUGUUGUUAGGGAAGAACAAGUGCUAGUUGAAUAAGCUGGCACCUUGACGGUACCUAACCAGAAAGCCACGGCUAACUACGUGCCAGCAGCCGCCGUAA
rnacentral:rRNA from 1 species